AGUGGCGCACGGGUGCGUAACACGUAUGCAACCUACCUCUGACUGGGGCAUAGCCCGGAGAAAUUCGGAUUAAUACCCCAUAACAUAAUGAUAGGGCAUCUUAUUAUUAUCAAAACUACGGUGGUCAGAGAUGGGCAUGCGGUUGAUUAGCUAGUUGGUGAGGUAACGGCUCACCAAGGCUACGAUCAAUAGGGGGUCUGAGAGGAUGUCCCCCCACACUGGUACUGAGACACGGACCAGACUCCUACGGGAGGCAGCAGUAGGGAAUAUUGGUCAAUGGACGCAAGUCUGAACCAGCCAUGCCGCGUGCAGGAUGACUGCCCUAUGGGUUGUAAACUGCUUUUAUCAGGGAAGAAACCCCUCUACGUGUAGAGGGCUGACGGUACCUGAGGAAUAAGGAUCGGCUAACUUCGUGCCAGCAGCCGCGGUAAUACGAAGGAUCCAAGCGUUGUCCGGAUUUACUGGGUUUAAAGGGUGCGUAGGCGGACUUUUAAGUCAGUGGUGAAAGCCGGUAGCUUAACUAUCGAAUUGCCAUUGAAACUGAAAGUCUCGAGUACGGUUGAGGUGGCUGGAAUGUAUCAUGUAGCGGUGAAAUGCUUAGAUAUGAUACAGAACACCAAUUGCGAAGGCAAGUCACUAAGCCGUAACUGACGCUGAGGCACGAAAGCGUGGGGGAGCAAACAGGAUUAGAUACCCCGGUAGUCCACGCCCU
rnacentral:rRNA from 1 species